rnacentral:tRNA from 1 species
GGUAUGGUGGCUCAGUGGUUAGAGCGCCCGCCUCAUAAACGGGAGGUCGUGGGUUUGAACCCCGGCCGAGUCA